rnacentral:tRNA from 1 species
GGUCCGCUGGCGUAAUGGCAGCGCGUCUGACUACGAUUCCAAAAAAUCAAGUUAUCAGGAGGUUCCAGGUUCGACCCCUGGGCGGAUCG